UGGUGGAGCGAUUUGUCUGGUUAAUUCCGAUAACGAACGAGACUCUGGCCUAUUAAAUAGACGAUGUAUUAAAAGUAUGUCGUACUUCUUAGAGGGACAAGCGGCGUCUAGCCGCAUGAAAUAGAGCAAUAACA
rnacentral:rRNA from 1 species